rnacentral:rRNA from 1 species
UGGGGAAUAUUGGACAAUGGGCGAAAGCCUGAUCCAGCCAUGCCGCGUGUGUGAAGAAGGCCUUCGGGUUGUAAAGCACUUUCAGCGAGGAAGAACGCCUUGGGACUAAUACUCCCGAGGAAAGACAUCACUCGCAGAAGAAGCACCGGCUAACUCCGUGCCAGCAGCCGCGGUAAUACGGAGGGUGCAAGCGUUAAUCGGAAUUACUGGGCGUAAAGCGCGCGUAGGUGGCUAAGUCAGCCAGGUGUGAAAGCCCCGGGCUCAACCUGGGAACGGCAUCUGGAACUGCUUGGCUAGAGUGCAGGAGAGGAAGGUAGAAUUCCCGGUGUAGCGGUGAAAUGCGUAGAGAUCGGGAGGAAUACCAGUGGCGAAGGCGGCCUUCUGGACUGACACUGACACUGAGGUGCGAAAGCGUGGGUAGCAAACAGG